AACGAACGCUGGCGGCAUGCCUAACACAUGCAAGUCGAACGAGACCUUCGGGUUUAGUGGCGCACGGGUGCGUAACGCGGGGGAACCUGCCUUUAGGUUCGGAAUAACUCAGAGAAAUUUGAGCUAAUACCGGAUGAUGUCUUCGGACCAAAGAUUUAUCGCCUUUAGAUGGGCCCGCGUUGGAUUAGCUAGUUGGUGGGGUAAAGGCCUACCAAGGCGACGAUCCAUAGCUGGUCUGAGAGGAUGAUCAGCCACACUGGGACUGAGACACGGCCCAGACUCCUACGGGAGGCAGCAGUGGGGAAUAUUGGACAAUGGGCGAAAGCCUGAUCCAGCAAUGCCGCGUGAGUGAUGAAGGCCUUAGGGUUGUAAAGCUCUUUUACCCGAGAUGAUAAUGACAGUAGCGGGAGAAUGAGCUCCGGCUAACUCCGUG
rnacentral:rRNA from 1 species